rnacentral:rRNA from 1 species
UGGGGAAUAUUGCACAAUGGGCGCAAGCCUGAUGCAGCCAUGCCGCGUGUGUGAAGAAGGCCUUCGGGUUGUAAAGCACUUUCAGCGAGGAGGAAGGUGGUGAGCUUAAUACGCUCAUCAAUUGACGUUACUCGCAGAAGAAGCACCGGCUAACUCCGUGCCAGCAGCCGCGGUAAUACGGAGGGUGCAAGCGUUAAUCGGAAUUACUGGGCGUAAAGCGCACGCAGGCGGUUUGUUAAGUCAGAUGUGAAAUCCCCGGGCUCAACCUGGGAACUGCAUUUGAAACUGGCAAGCUAGAGUCUCGUAGAGGGGGGUAGAAUUCCAGGUGUAGCGGUGAAAUGCGUAGAGAUCUGGAGGAAUACCGGUGGCGAAGGCGGCCCCCUGGACGAAGACUGACGCUCAGGUGCGAAAGCGUGGGGCAGCAAACAGGAUUAGAUACCCUGGUAGUCCAGCGCUGUAAACGAUGUCGAUUUUGGAGGUUGUGCCCUUGAGGCGUGGCUUCCGGAGCUAACGCGUUAAAUCGACCGCCUGGGGAGUACGGCCGCAAGGUUAAAACUUAAAGGAAUUGACGGGGUCUAGCUG